AGCAGUUAUGUUUGGCCUUUUUUAAUAAAGCCUAUAUACUCUUAUUGCGAGCUCUUGCAAGUGGAUUUUUGCGUUUAAAAAUAACAAAUCAUUAAAUGUAGAAUGGAGGGCAUACUAAAUAAGUACACACACAGAUUUAGCGACCAAAAAAGAUAUCUUUCCUCUUGCCAGGGCCCAAUUUGAAGAGCGGCUAGGGAUAAUAUACAAGUAUUGUUAUUCUUCUUCUGAAACUGUUUUGCUAUCAUUAAUGUAAGUCUAUUACAGGCCAGUCAUGUAUUUAUA